rfam:Camelus ferus unplaced genomic scaffold scaffold661, whole genome shotgun sequence.
GAGGGUAUAGUUCAGUAGUAGAGCGCAUGCUUAGCAUGCACAAGGUCCUGGGUUCAAUCCCCAGUAUCUCCA